GACGAGCGCUGGCGGCGUGCUUAACACAUGCAAGUUGAACGAGAAUUUUUCGAGUGAUUUCUUCGGAAUGAUCAUGAAAAAGGAAAGUAGUGAACGGGUGAGUAACACGUGAGAAACCUGCCUUUCACAAAGGGAUAGCCUCGGGAAACCGGGAUUAAUACCUUAUGAAACCACACACUCGCAUGAGAGAUUGGUUAAAGAUUUAUCGGUGUUAGAUGGUCUCGCGUCUGAUUAGCUAGUUGGUGGGAUAAAAGCCUACCAAGGCAACGAUCAGUAGCCGGAUUGAGAGGUUGAACGGCCACACUGGAACUGAGACACGGUCCAGACUCCUACGGGAGGCAGCAGUGGGGAAUUUUGCACAAUGGAGGAAACUCUGAUGCAGCGACGCCGCGUGAGUGAUGAAGGUCUUCGGAUUGUAAAACUCUGUCCUUAGUGAAGAUAAUGACAGUAACUAAGAAGCAAGCCCUGGCUAAAUACGUG
rnacentral:rRNA from 1 species